rnacentral:rRNA from 1 species
AUGGAGUCAACUACAAAACUUAAAGACAUCACUAUAGGACAGCAAACCUGUAGGGUCUUUGCCCGCCUAAUAAGGAUUUGGGAUGCUAUAAACAUGAAUAACAAAAAUGGAGAUGCUUUGAUCAGCAUUGAUGGUAUUCUCUUAGAUGAAGAUGGCAACAUGUCACAUAUCAGUGUGCCCAAAAGAUUUGAAAAACAAUUUCGCAGCCUGCUAUCUGAAGGAUCUGCCUACAUUAUUUCCAAUAUUGCAGCCAUCGAAACCGGAAGAAAAUCAUAUGUCUACCACCAGCAGAAAUACAUCCUUCAGUUCAAACAGGACACAAAGGUGCAUCCACUACAUUCAAGGGGAGCAAAUAUACCAGCAAUUGCUUUCAACUUUUGUCCAUUUGAUCAGCUGCCAGCAAAAGCAACUGAUUCCAAGCCACUCCUAGAUAUAAUAGGAGUAAUCAGUGAUGUUGGUCCAUUCGACUAUGCUAGCCGAACAUCUCAGCACAAACUUCGGAAGAUCAAAAUUCGCAAUCUAGAUGAACAGACACAAGAAUUGGUUUUAUGGGGCAAACAUGGAGAAUCAUUUGAUGAAGAAGCCGUGCUAAAAAAAUCUCAACAUGGAAUUGUAAUAGCCGUAUUUUCUGGUAUAACAGCAACUCUACAAAGGUUUACAGGUAUGACACAAGGAUGUUCAAGUUCGGCAACACAAGUAUAUCUUGAUCUCGAUAUACCUGAGGUUCAAACAUACCGCAGCAGGUUCCUCUCUCUCUCUCUGUGUGAGUGUGUGUGUGUGUGUGUGUGUGUGUGUGCGCUUUCACAAACAGGAAGCCUAUGA